UACGUAGGGUGCGAGCGUUGUCCGGAAUUAUUGGGCGUAAAGAGCUUGUAGGCGGUUUGUCGCGUCUGCCGUGAAAAUUCGAGGCUCAACCUCGAACUUGCGGUGGGUACGGGCAGACUAGAGUGUGGUAGGGGAGACUGGAAUUCCUGGUGUAGCGGUGAAAUGCGCAGAUAUCAGGAGGAACACCGGUGGCGAAGGCGGGUCUCUGGGCCGAUACUGACGCUGAGGAGCGAAAGCGUGGGGAGGCGAACAGG
rnacentral:rRNA from 1 species